GAUGAACGCUGGCGGCGUGCUUAACACAUGCAAGUCGAACGAAGCACCUUGAUUUGAUUCUUCGGAUGAAGAUCUUGGUGACUGAGUGGCGGACGGGUGAGUAACGCGUGGGUAACCUGCCUCAUACAGGGGGAUAACAGUUAGAAAUGACUGCUAAUACCGCAUAAGACCACAGCACCGCAUGGUGCAGGGGUAAAAACUCCGGUGGUAUGAGAUGGACCCGCGUCUGAUUAGGUAGUUGGUGGGGUAACGGCCUACCAAGCCGACGAUCAGUAGCCGACCUGAGAGGGUGACCGGCCACAUUGGGACCGAGACACGGCCCAAACUCCUACGGGAGGCAGCAGUGGGGAAUAUUGCACAAUGGGGGAAACCCUGAUGCAGCGACGCCGCGUGAGCGAUGAAGUAUUUCGGUAUGUAAAGCUCUAUCAGCAGGGAAGAAAAUGACGGUACCUGACUAAGAAGCACCGGCUAAAUACGUG
rnacentral:rRNA from 1 species